rnacentral:rRNA from 1 species
GUAAGGAAUAUUGGUCAAUGGACGAAAGUCUGAACCAGCCAUGCCGCGUGGAGGAUGAAGGUCCUCUGGAUUGUAAACUUCUUUUAUAUGGGACGAAAAAGGGUUUUUCUAGACCAACUGACGGUACCAUAUGAAUAAGCACCGGCUAACGCCGUGCCAGCAGCCGCGGUAAUACGGAGGGUGCAAGCGUUAUCCGGAUUCUCUGGGUUUAAAGGGUGCGUAGGUGGGAUGGGAAGUCAGUGGUGAAAUCCCCGAGCUUAACUCGGGAACUGCCAUUGAUACUAUCAGUCUUGAAUACCGUGGAGGUCAGCGGAAUAUGUCAUGUAGCGGUGAAAUGCUUAGAUAUGACAUAGAACACCAAUUGCGAAGGCAGCUGGCUACACGAAUAUUGACACUGAGGCACGAAAGCGUGGGGAUCAAA